GCCAGCAUGGUGUAGUGGUUUGAGCGUUGGACUGUGACUCUAGAGGGCACAGGUCAAAUCCUGGCUUGGCC